ACAGUCUCUGACUUUUAACUUUUGAGACUAAAAAGAAGGCAUGAUCAAACAAUCGUGGAAAAAUUUUCAUUCCUCUUUCAUUCUCCUGACUUAAUUGCCCUGUCAUUCUCUCUCUUGUUCAUCCAAGACUUUGGCCCUUAGCUUACAAUAUCUGCCUCUCCUGUACUUUUCUGCCAUCAUCUACCACUGUAAUGUCCACAUGUACAACCUGUCAAAAAUCCUUGAAGCUCUGAUUCCGCCAGCUUUUAGAGCCACUUCAUUGAGCAACCCAUAUCCAAAGCCAUACCUUCUGAUCUCUACAUAGCAUUUACUCUUCCAUAUUCCAUAGGUUUUCAACUGAACUUCUUAUUUCCCUCUCCCCCUCACAGUGUUCCAACCCACCCUUAAACAUAUACACCUCUUCUCCCCACCUCUUUCCUUUCUCCACUGUUCUAUCCCAGUUAAUAAUACCACCAUUGAACUCUACAAUCAGAUAAGGGAUGGGGGUUCAUUCUAGACCAUCUAGGUAUCAUCUCUAUCUCAGACAUCAAUGGCCUAAUCCAAAAGGUCAUUAUUGUCACUAUCAGUGUAAAAGUCAUACAAAAAUACUUACAUUUUUUAAAAAAAUAGUAAUAGAAGUGUGUAGCUCAGUGGUAGAGCAUGUGCUUAGCAUGCUGCAGGGCCUGGCUUCAAUCCCCUACACCAACCAUAAUAAUAAUAAUUAGUGGUAGUAGUAGUAAGAGUACUUUACAACAUUCAGCCCAAGUAAUUUAAAUUACAGAACAGUAUUACCUUAUUAGCAAACCAUGAAAUUUACACAGAAACAUAUAUGAAUUGUGCUACUCUCAGAAUUCAGAAGCCCAAAAAUGUUUAAAGUAAAUGCAUCCUCAUGGCUACCCUUAGAGUAAGAACAGUGUACCCUCAGAUAGUCAGAGAGGUGUUGCCUGACCAACGUCCUGAAAGAUGGAGCCUUCUAUCC
rnacentral:lncRNA from 1 species